GUGUUCCUAGAAAGUUGAGAUGGUUGUCAUCUCCCUUAACAGGGACUGCAACUUGUCUUCGGAUUUAUGUGUCACCACACAUCCAGACAUCCAGUUAAGGCUUCCCACCCUUGUGGUGGAUCUCAUAAUUUCA